GUCUGGAAGUUUCGAACUGGGUAUCUGGGUCAAGCUCUUUUGGGUCCUAUAAGACUGCACCGACACAUAUAACCCGCCCCAAUUCCGAAGGUGUCGGAACAGCGACAAAAAUAUCCACCCACCUUCAUUUGCUCUACCCCUCUCUCUCUCUCUCUCUCUCUCAAUCCUUACAAAACCCAAGUUUCCUUUUUUUGGCGUAGAAACUCAAGUUUGAAUUUGUGUAAAAACAGCGAGGGAACUAAAUGGAUAUGGAUGAUAUAUUUGGCACCGCACGACCUGUGAGUCUUCCAACAAAGAGUGCAAUUUACGUGUGGGGUUAUAACCAGUCGGGACAGACGGGUAGGGAGGGGAAAGAACGCCAAUUGAGGAUUCCAAAGCAGCUUCCUCCAGAGCUUUUUGGAUGCCCAGCAGGGGCAAAUUCACGCUGGUUGGAUAUAGCUUGUGGCCGUGAGCAUACAGCAGCUGUAGCCUCAGAUGGGUCGCUUUUCACUUGGGGAGCUAAUGACUUUGGUCAACUGGGAGAUGGAACUGAGGAGGGUAGGAAAUACCCAACGAAGGUGAAACAAUUGCAGACAGAGUUUGUGAAAUCCGUGUCUUGUGGAGCACAUUGUACUGCUGCUAUUGCAGAACCUCGUGAAAAUGAUGGAACCAUCUCCACACGUAGACUAUGGGUUUGGGGGCAAAAUCAGGGGUCAGAUUUUCCACGUUUAUACUGGGGAGCGUUUCCCCAAAAUACGAUUAUCCGUCAAGUUUCUUGUGGGGCAGUUCAUGUGGUAGCUCUAUCGGAGGAUGGCCUGCUGCAAGCCUGGGGCUACAAUGAAUUUGGUCAACUUGGAAGAGGAAUUACAUGUGAAGGUUUACAGGGGGCACGUGUGAUAAAUGCAUAUGCAAAGUUUCUUGAUGAAGCUCCUGAGCUUGUGAAGAUUACCCAAGUGUCAUGCGGGGAGUACCACACAGCAGCUAUAUCUGAAAAAGGCGAGGUGUAUACUUGGGGACUGGGAAGCAUGGGCCAACUUGGGCAUUGUUCUCUUCAGUCUGGGGAUAAAGAGUUAUUGCCAAGGAGAGUGGUUGCACUUGAUGGAAUACUCAUAAAGGAUGUAGCAUGUGGUGGCGUACAUACAUGUGCUGUGACUCAAAAAGGAGCACUCUAUGCUUGGGGUGGUGGUCAAUCAGGGCAGUUAGGGCUUGGCCCUCAAACUGGAUUCUUUUCAUGCGUUCCUAAUGACUCGAAGUCUCUUCUCCGUAAUAUCCCUGUUUUGGUUGUUCCAACUGGUGUACAGCUUGUCGCAUGCGGAAACUCGCACACUCUUAUAUCCUCUAGGGAUGGAAGGAUACAUGGAUGGGGCUACAAUAGCUAUGGUCAGGCAGCUAACGAGAAAUCUUCCUAUGCAUGGUAUCCAUCAGCGGUUGAUUGGUGCGUCGGGGAAGUGCGAAAACUAGCAGCCGGUGGUGGCCAUUCAGCUGUUUUGACUGAUGCAUGCUCCUUGAAGGAAUUGUGUGAAUUUAGACUUGCAGAUAGUGUGACUCCGAUGAAUGCUUCUGAAGUUGGAGAUGUUGCAUCACGAACUGGGGCAGAAGCUUUAGCACGUCUCUGUGAAAGACUGAGGAUAUUAUAAAUGGGUACAUCACGUCAUCAAACUCGUUUUUCAUCGUAAAUUUCACUUGAUCUUUGAAUCUGAAUGUAACAUAUGCCUUUCAUUGAACUUGAUCAGUUUUCUUGUAGUACGAUGAGGAUGCCAUGUUGUAAAUUCUUGGUAUUUUGCAGGGAGCAUAUGCUUGAUGGUGGUGGUUGUGGGUAUGAAGAUGAGAUCAGCGGUGAGAGGAUUUGAAGAAACACGUUGAAAUUUAUACAACAAAAAACAAAGCAUGAUCCUAUUCUGUAUUUUAUAAUACUCACCCUCGUUAUCAAUUUAGUUAAGGAUUAAAAAUUAAAAGCUGUUGUAAUAAGAUUCUAAAGGUGGCAAUAUCCACCUUUAUUUUUAUCCCUAGGCUAGGAAGAAACAAUGGUUCUUCGGUAACUGUAAAGAUAUUUCCAUUUGAUCUCUCCCAUUAUAUAUGUAACAAACAUAAAACCAUUUUCAUGGUCCUACUGUACGUUAAAAGUUUUUUAUUUUAUUUUUAUC